rnacentral:tRNA from 1 species
CGCGCUGUAGAGCAGUUGGUAGCUCGUCGGGCUCAUAACCCGGAGGUCGCAGGUUCGAGUCCUGCCGGCGCUA